UGCACAUUUGACUAGGAUGGUGUCUACAACUGGCUGGAGAAGUCUCUGAAGUUUGAUUCUUUCCGCUAAACUGUGGCAAGGAGUAUAUACCAGCAUGGCUCUCAAUGUUUUCUAAGGAAAAAAAUCUGAAGAUGUAGAAGUACUAGAUGAUGACAAUGUAUGAGAAUUUGACAUGCGUGAAACAAACUUCUGGAUGGUGUUACGAGAUGGAGCUUUGAUCCUUGAGCUACGCCUACUGUGAUAUUUCUGGAACAAACU
rnacentral:lncRNA from 1 species